rnacentral:piRNA from 1 species
UCGCAAGUGUUCUCAGUUUCUAGAA